UUCCGACCUCUGUCUAAUGCCAACUACAGAUAGAAAAAACCAAAAUGUCACAAUGACAGUGGCAAUCAAUCCGAAGCCUAGAUCGCCACCCAUGCGUCUGGGAAAAAAACGCUAAGGCCACCCUCAUCAAUAUUUGCGACCCCGUUGCAACUAGGGGCUGAAGUGCUGAACCUCCUCCCUCUAGAGAAUAGCCCAACUCGAAAGCCAAUGUGUUGUCGUAAGGAUAACCUGCAAAGGAGAACAAUAGAUUUUUUUUCUUAAACACUAAAUCAUUUCUACAAAUCCAAAGAGCCCGGCACAAGACCACCGCUCCAAGUAGAAACACAGAUUUUAGUAAUUUAUUACGACCCUGAAGCCAACCCCCAAACAUAUGGUCCACAUUAAGAGGUGGACUAAAGCCGGUUGCCAUCUGUAGAAUGCUCCAGACUGAUCGAGCGAAACGACACUCAAAGAAUAUAUCUAGGUGCAACGACUGAUAAUUUGGAUCGGAGGAAAUAUGUAAUAGCUAAGAGCUCAACUUCUUUGGUCAAAUAGGAUUAAAAAGUUAAGAAGUUUCUUUUCUAUUAUCUGACUUAACUUUGUUCAAAGCUAAACUUGUAGAGUGCUGUGAAGGGAUUAAUGUUAUGAACGAAGGUAAAGAAGAGUCAGAAAACUGUUGCGUGGAUAAGCUGGAGGACAUGGAAGUGGGGAAUUGUCCCACCAGAUGCUGCAAGGAUGCUUCCCAUAGUAAUACUUAAUGUUUUGGAAAGUCAAUUAAAGCAAGUUUGUUAUGUUUUGUUCGUAACAACUAUCUAUCAUGGGGUUUUUUCAGGUUCAGCCUCCAGGAAAAAAGUCGUGCCUAGCAUUUCAGAAAACCAGGCUUGCUGUGCAACCACUUUCUGCAAUGAAAGAUCUUGGGAAACUAAUGCAUGGCGUGCUCGGUUAGUAAAGGCAGUUUGUCAGAAAGAAUCUAUUUUGCCAACGAACACAGAGAAUCCAAUUUUACCUUCUUCCAUAGGAAUUUCAUGUGAUGCAGUA
rnacentral:lncRNA from 1 species